CACUACUCUCCCACACUCUCUCAUUUUCACGUUUUGCUUAUUCUUGGGGAGAGGAGAGCUCUCCAAGUUUAGGUUCUUGGACAGGGCAACAUUUAUAUCUUCAAGAGAUCUAGAUGAUCAGAAAGGGAACGGUUAUAACCCCUGGCGCCUCUGUCCAGUAAGUCAAGUUGAAGAGGUGAAGUGCAUUAAAGAGACUUCUUCCAAUUUGGCUCUGCACCAUAAUAUACUCUAUGGUUUUCACACAUAUGGCUUCACUUUUUGUGGAGCAAGGCGCUGCCAUGAAAACCACUGUCUCCACUUUUAGAAUACCACUAGUUAGCAUGUCCAACUUUGAUAUACUCAAUGUGGCAGUUUUCAUUUUCUAUUACCGUCGAGUUCUUGAUCCGUUUGUGGGAAAACUCAAAAAGACAGAUUCCAAGGGACUUAGAGAGCUUCAAAGAAUAGGAGUUGGAUUUAGAUUUCUCCCAUGAACCCUAAAACUCACAUUCCCCCAAUUUGAUUUAGAUUUCACAAUUGCACAUAAUGGGUCUUUCAGCACUUGAUUUAA